AUUGAACGCUGGCGGCAUGCCUUACACAUGCAAGUCGAACGGUAACGAGCCGUCUGCUGCCGGCUAGUGGGGCACGGGGGUGUAAUACAUCGGGACGUGUGCCAGCGUGGGGGGGAACGAGGCGAAAGCUGUGCUAAUAUCGCGUACGAGCUACGAGGGAGAGCGUGGGGCCGCAUGGCCUCUCGCGGUCGCAGCUGACCCUAGGACGGAUUAGCUAGUUGGUGGGGUAAAAGCAUACCAAGGAGACGAUCUGUAGCUGGUCUGAGAGGAUGAUCAGCCACACUGGAACUGAGACACGGCCCAGACUCCUACGGGAGGCAGCAGUGGGGAAUUUUGGACAAAGGGCGAAAGCCUGAUCCAGCCAUGCCGCGUGUAGGAUGAAGGUCUUCGGGUUGUAAAGUGCUUUUGUACGGAAGGAAAAGCAUUAUUUUAAUACCGGGGGGUCAUGACGGUACCGUAAGAAUAAGCACCGGCUAACUACGUG
rnacentral:rRNA from 1 species